rnacentral:rRNA from 1 species
ACCCGGGACAACGCGCCCCGCGUUAGAAAGCCGUUCGCUAGGGCGGCUCGCCCGGGUGGCCGGCGGGGGGCAUGCGGACCCGACCCCGCGAUUGUUAAGAACCAUUGAAUUAUGAAUGAAGAUUGUAGUCCGAAACUUUAGCUAACGCAUCUAUAGCUUUCAACAUCGAAGAUCAAGGUUCCGGAAUCGAUGAAGAACUCAGCAUAAUGGAAUUAGUAAUGUGAAUUGCUCAAUUCAGUGAAUCAUCGAGUCUUUGAAUUCACAUUGCGCCCCCUGUAUUCCGGGGGGCAUGCCUGUAAGAGCGUCAUUGCUGCCCUCAAGCACGGCUUGUGUGUUGGGCCCCCGCCCCCCGGUUCCGGCGCUGUCCCCGAAAGCAGCGUAACUAACCGCGCCAUGUCCUCGAGCGUAUGCGGCUUCGUCACCCGCUCUGUAUGCCCGGCCGGCCCUCGGAUCAGGACGCCAUUCAAUCUUGUCCAGGUUGACCUCGGAUCGGGAAAGGAAAUACCCGCUGAACUUAAGCAUAUCAAUAGGACGGAGGAAACCCUUUUUUCCGCUUAAUCAACGGAAGGCAAGUAUUGAAAACGUCGAAAUAGUCGAGGUGCCUAAAUGGGGGGUGCGCUGGUCAGCACACUCCAGCUAAAGAAAAAUGCACUGUGAUAAGCGGAAAAGAUGAGUAAUAUAGUAAGGAAGGCAGUCGCUCUUGACCGACGAACCCGUUAUUAUACUACUAGCUCCAUGCGCCGACAAAAGGAAUAACGAGGUUCUGAAGGGUUUGAGGGCAUGGUU